UGUUUAGUCUAAUGAGGAGAAAAUGUAUCCAAAAUUAUCCCCUAAAUGUUGGAAAUUCAAUAAAGAAAUUAGAACAUAUUAUCAUUUAUGGUGGAAAUGCGCAAAAGCCCAAACAUAUUGGUUGAAAAUUAGAAAUUGGUUAGAAGAGAUGUAUAAAAU